AUGGUUAUGACAGUAAUCAUCAUACUCAAUUGCUGUUUCCAAACUUAAAUCAGUAAAAACUACAACCUGGAAAUUUGAGAGGUACUCCUUAGUCAAAUUCUCCACCAAGGUAGACACCGCAACAGCAUUAUUAAGCUCUUGCAGCUUCUGCGCACAAGCUACAGCUCGAUUCUUACCAACAUCAUCCUCCGAGAAAAAGAAAUUGCUAGACAAAUCCCA
rnacentral:misc_RNA from 1 species